AGAGACCAGAAAAGGACAGUACAGAUGGUUGUGAGGCACAGUGUGGGUGCUGUGAAUCAAAUAUGGGCCCUCUGCAAGAGCAAGAACUCUUAACUGAUGAGCCAUCUCUCUAGAACCAGGCAAUUAUAAUUCUUGAAAUUGAUGGAAUAACAGUCUCACUUAACUCCAUUGCCCAGGAAUAUUAAAGAUAAUAAUGGCUAUUGGAGGAGUUAUAGAGCAGACAAUAUGGCAGUGCAAAAACCAUCGUUGCUUAAACCGCACAAUAACACUUUGGUGGUAGUUUAAAUAUGCUGCCCAUUGCUCUCCUUUUGCACUUGUUUUUUGGGAAUUUUGUCUUUCUUUUUUCCGUGCCAGAAAUUGAUUCCGUGACUUCAGGGAUCAUAGGCUAGUGCUUUCCCAUUACAUUGUCAUCUAAUCGUCUUGAUUUUUGAAACAGCAGGUUUGAAAAUUCAUUUCAGUCUGCUAGCAGCAAAAUGAAUGUCCUGCCAGUUGUCACUAAUGAGGAAUGAUUGGAGCCUAUCCUUUAGUACAAAUAAACUCAGGUGGAUCGUCAGUAAGAGAAUUUACUGCAAGAAAGCACAAGGACCUGAGUUCAAAUCCCCAGAUCUCAUGUAAAAACCCAGUAAAUCCAUAUCCAUGACAUCCAGGCUCAGUGAGAGACCAUUGCACUUCUCAAAUGUCAUCAAUAAAAAUGGCCAUAAAGUCUUUUAAACCCCCCACACACAGAAGAAUUGUAUCAGUAUACAUACAGGUCAGGUACCUGGGUUCUCUUUUGAAUACAAGGAUAGCCACCAAUAAAGAACCAUCUAUCUCCUGAAAACUGGUCGCCUAGGGUAGGAAUAUAAUAACAAUGUUCACUAACAGUUCACCUACCAACUCCCUUGAUGCCAUGCACACCUCAAUACUGCCUCUUUUUGUUUGUUUUGUUUUGUUUUUCGAGACAGGUUUUCUCUGCAUUGCUUUGGAGGCUGUCCUGGAACUCACUCUGUAGACCAGGCUGGCCUCGAACUCACAGAGAUCCACCUGCCUCUGCCUCCCGAGUGCUGGGAUUAAAGGCGUGUGCCACCACUGCCUGGUCCAACACUGCCUAUUUUACCUCAAGCUACUGGAAACAAAAGUACAAGAUCCUCGCCUUGCUAUACUUUUGUGGACCAUAUAGGAUAGACCAUGAUGUUUGUUUAGCAGUGUAAUAAACUCUCCUGUCUCCAGCCAAUGUGGUAUCAAUUUCUACAGUAUCAGUCUGUAGUUUCAAAUGUUGUUGGCUCAUCCCUGAGAACACAGGGCGUCCUGUUUUUCCAAGAUUAAAACUAAAAGAUUUGAUUAUUUUACCAGAGUUCAUAGUUCCCAGGAUUUUCUUAUUGCUUUCCUUCCAUUUGCUCUCAUUCCCAAUUCCCCCAGACAGUCCAAAGUGCUUCUUAGGGAAGGACCAGUAAUUAUGGCACAUGAAGGGAGAAGAUAAAUCCUCAUGUAUUGAAGGUAACUGAGAUAUACUACCUGGUCCCCAUCCUUUAGUAAUUUUAUAGUUUCUGACCUUCACCCCAUUUUGGCAUUUCAGGGCCUGUUUGCCUGCACACCCAGGAAAGCGAGUUUGAAUUGCAGGUAAAUACGGCAACAUCCAACAAUAUCACACAUAUGAAGCUGCAAGGCUCUGCAUUAAAGUGGCUAAUUUUAGGUAGGUAAGGGACAGGAAUAGCAUGAGCGGCCCUUUUCACACAGCUUUCUCCUUGUUUCUAGCUAUUGUCAAACUGGAAAGGUCAGUUCAGUAGAAGUCUAGUCACAGAAUCUAAGAAAGAGAAUGGGGGAGUCCUGUUUCAAAUGCAAAGUGUUGGCAGCAGGAGGACAUGCAGAGAAAGAUGUCUCACUGACCACCAGAAACACAGAAAGUGAGGAGACUGGUUCAUGCAUUUGCAAACAUUGUAUUCUAUGCCAGCAACCUGGAAGGCUGAGGCAAGAAAUACGAGUUUGUGUCUUACCAAGAAUAAAUAGGGAAUUUAAGGCAAAAUCCACAGUACACAGGAGAGAUCUGAGAACAAAAACUGCCUAGCUGCACUCUCGGCUUCUUUUACAAAUUCAAUAUGAAAGUAAACUUACAUACCGAGUACAAGAUUUUUGAAGAAGAUAAUAUGACUCAUGAUAUUUGCUGAAAUAAAACUUCCCUGGGAAAUGUAAA